AUGAAUGUGCUAAUUUUUUUGUCAGCUACUAAAGAAAGGCAGCAGAAGUGGAGGACGGUCAGGUAUUGUUCCCGACCACGUGAGACAGCGUGGAACGGUAGGUACUGCUCUGUCCGCGCCUCAGGACUGCGGAUGCUCCGAGGGUGUCACGAGGCAGCGCGUGGACCGCAGGCUGCUGAGGCUGAAACGAAUGCACUGUUAGUACAAACUUCGGCGGGGAUUUCGUGCAUCAUGGAGAAAGACAGUGUCACAGACCUUCUGGAGGAGCUCAGCAGGAGGAGAGACAGCGCUGCACCGACGAUGUGGUUUGAAGAACAGAGAUCUGUGGUGUUCCAGCUUAUUGGAAACUUUUAUGCUCAAGCCAAGGGGAUACUAUAGAUGGAGCUAAUCUGUGAGUAAGUUUUCUGGAGGCCAUUAUGUCUCCUACAGUUUUGGGGUUUUUUUUCUAAGGAAGGCAGCGCUCUGUGUGUGUCUGUGUGUGAGGGAGAGAGAGAAAGAACAUUGCCUAGAGGGUUUCGGUUACCACACUGUCUAAAUAUCCCUUAUUUUUAGUUGGAGUCUUCUGAAUAUGAGAUCCCACUACAG
rnacentral:lncRNA from 1 species